rnacentral:rRNA from 1 species
UACGGAGGAUGCAAGCGUUAUCCGGAAUGAUUGGGCGUAAAGCGUCCGCAGGUGGCAAUGUAAGUCUGCUGUUAAAGAGUCUAGCUCAACUAGAUAAAAGCAGUGGAAACUACAUAGCUAGAGUACGUUCGGGGCAGAGGGAAUUCCUGGUGUAGCGGUGAAAUGCGUAGAGAUCAGGAAGAACACCGGUGGCGAAGGCGCUCUGCUAGGCCGUAACUGACACUGAGGGACGAAAGCGUGGGGAUCGAACAGG